rnacentral:rRNA from 1 species
CCUACGGGAGGCAGCAGUAGGGAAUAUUGCUCAAUGGGGGAAACCCUGAAGCAGCAACGCCGCGUGGAGGAUGAAGGUUUUAGGAUUGUAAACUCCUUUUGUUAGAGAAGAUUAUGACGGUAUCUAACAAUUAACACCCGUCUAACUCGGUUCCAGCGCCCCCGGUAAUCCGGAGGUUCAAAGCGUUACCCGGAAUAACUGGCGGUAAGGAGGGCGUAGGGGGGGUAAUAAGUCAGAUGUGAAAUCCUGUAGCUUAACUACAGAACUGCAUUUGAAACUGUUACUCUGGAGUGUGGGAGAGGUAGGUGGAAUUCUUGGUGUAGGGGUAAAAUCCGUAGAGAUCAAGAGGAAUACUCAUUGCGAAGGCGACCUGCUGGAACAUUACUGACGCUGAUGCACGAAAGCGUGGGGAGCAAACAGGAUUAGAUACCCUUGUAGUC